UACGUAGGUGGCAAGCGUUGUCCGGAAUUAUUGGGCGUAAAGCGCGCGCAGGCGGUCCUUUAAGUCUGAUGUGAAAGCCCACGGCUCAACCGUGGAGGGUCAUUGGAAACUGGGGGACUUGAGUGCAGGAGAGAAGAGUGGAAUUCCACGUGUAGCGGUGAAAUGCGUAGAGAUGUGGAGGAACACCAGUGGCGAAGGCGACUCUCUGGACCUCUGCUGACGCUGAGGCGCGAAAGCGUGGGGAGCGAUCCGG
rnacentral:rRNA from 1 species